UACGAAGGGGGCUAGCGUUGCUCGGAAUCACUGGGCGUAAAGCGCACGUAGGCGGCUUUCUAAGUCAGGGGUGAAAUCCUGGAGCUCAACUCCAGAACUGCCUUUGAUACUGGGAAGCUCGAGUCCGGAAGAGGUGAGUGGAACUCCGAGUGUAGAGGUGAAAUUCGUAGAUAUUCGGAAGAACACCAAUGGCGAAGGCAGCUCUCUGGGACGGUACUGACGCUGAGACGCGAAAGCGUGGGGAGCGAACAGG
rnacentral:rRNA from 1 species